rnacentral:tRNA from 1 species
GGAUGUGUGGGUGAGGGGUUGAAACCAGCGACUUGCUAAGUCGUCGUCCCUUCGGGGACCGCAGGUUCGAAUCCUGCCGCAUCCGCCA